rnacentral:rRNA from 1 species
ACGGGGUCCUUUUACAAUUGCAAGUUCGAACGAGGACGUCGGUGUAUCAAUACAUCGGCGGUUCUAGUGCUGCCCUUGGUGAGUAAACGUGGGUAACCUGCCCUCGAGUCUGGUUUACCCUCUCGAAAGGGAGGCUAAUACCGGAUACGUUCCUCGGAUUGCUGGGUCUGGGGAGGAAAGGUGGCGAAAGCUGCCGCUCUUGGAGGGGCUCGCGGCCUAUCAGCUAGUUGGUGAGGUGACGGCUCUCCCAGGCUAUGACGGGUAGCUGGUCUGAGAGGACGACCAGCCUCACGGGAACUGAGACACGGUCCCGACUCCUACGGGAGGCACAGUGGGGAAUUUUCCGCAGUGGGCGAAACCCUGACCGAUUGACCCCUCGAGGGGGUUGAAGGCCUUCGGGUCGUUACCCCCGUCAAAGGCUAAGAAUGUUGUUGGCUUGAUCAGCUCCGGUUCUUACUGUACCUCAGAGGAACCCCCGGG